rnacentral:rRNA from 1 species
UACGGGGGGUGCAAGCGUUAUUCGGAAUUACUGGGCGUAAAGCGCGUGUAGGCGGGAAGGUAAGUCUGAUGUGAAAGCCCUGGGCUCAACCUGGGAAGUGCAUUGGAUACUGCUUUUCUUGAGUUCUGGAGAGGAUGGGGAAUUCCCGGUGUAGAGGUGAAAUUCGUAGAGAUCCGGAGGAAUAUCAGUGGCGAAGGCGCCCAUCUGGACGGCAACUGACGCUGAGACGCGAAAGCGUGGGGAGCAAACAGG